rnacentral:rRNA from 1 species
CCCUAUUAUUUUUGUUUUCCUGCAAGUAGUAAAUGUUAAGGUCAGGAAACUUAAAGAAUUUGGCGGUGUUUAUUCGUAAUAGAGGAAUAUGUUUUUGGAAUGAUAAUCCCCAAAUAUUUUACUUAAUUUUUUAUAUUUAGUAUACUUCCGUUAAAAAAUUUUUUAUAAAUAAGUUUUAUUAAUUUUAAAGAAUUGAGGUCAGGUUAAUGUGCAGGUUAUAAUUAAGUUAAAAUGUAUUACAAUAAAUUUAUUUAUUGAUUUUUAAUUGUAUUUAAGAUGAAAUUGGAUUUAAAAGUAAUUUUAUUUUUAGUAUAAAAAAUUGAAUUUUUGNAAAUAGAUAUGUACACAUCGCCC